UAGAGUUUGAUCAUGGCUCAGGAUGAACGCUGGCGAGAUGCCUUAUACAUGCAAGUUGUACGAGAAUUUUUAAUUCAAGUAGCGGACGGGUGAGUAACACGUAAGAAUUUGCCUUUAGGAGGGGGAUAACAACUGGAAACGGUUGCUAAUACCCCAUAUGCUUUCGAGUGAAAUGGAUUUUUCCGCCUAGAGAGAAGCUUGCGGCUGAUUAGCUUGUUGGUGAGGUAAUGGCUUACCAAGGCGACGAUCAGUAUCUGGUUUGAGAGGACGAUCAGACACACUGGAACUGAGACACGGUCCAGACUCCUACGGGAGGCAGCAGUAGGGAAUUUUCCGCAAUGGGCGAAAGCCUGACGGAGCAAUCUCGCGUGAGGGAUGACGGCCUAUGGGUUGUAAACCUCUUUUUUCAGGGAGGAAUAAAAUGACGUGUACCUGAAGAAUAAGCAUCGGCUAACUCCGUGCCAGCAGCCGCGGUAAGACGGAGGAUGCAAGUGUUAUCCGGAAUCACUGGGCGUAAAGCGUCUGUAGGUGGUUUAGUAAGUCAACUGUUAAAUCUUGAAGCUCAACUUCAAAAUCGCAGUCGAAACUAUUAGACUAGAGUAUAGUAGGGGUAAAGGGAAUUUCCAGUGGAGCGGUGAAAUGCGUAGAGAUUGGAAAGAACACCGAUGGCGA
rnacentral:rRNA from 1 species